rnacentral:rRNA from 1 species
UUAAACGACUCUCGGCAACGGGAUAUCUCGGCUCUCGCAUCGAUKAARAACGUAGCGAAAUGCGAUACUUGGUGUGAAUUGCARAAUCCCGUGAACCAUCGAGUCUUUGAACGCAAGUUGCGCCCGAAGCCAUUAGGUYGAGGGCACGYCUGCCUGGGCGUCUCACR